CGGUAAGUUUUUGUUUUUAAUUUACCAUUGUAGCAUUGAAUAUUCUCAUUUAAUUAGCUAUGAAAUGCAUGUGUAGGCUUGCUUACGAUUAUACGCUUAGUUAUUUUAAUUCGCGUACUUUAUCUACCUGUAUUGAUUUAAAUUCACACUUACAUUAUACCGGUUAUUCAAGUUACGGAACGCCCGAUUAUUACAAAUGUAACGGCAUUUAUUUAAUUAAAAAAUCAACUGCUGUUCAGUUUGCUGGAUAUUAUUAUACAUACAUGUAUAUAGCCGUCUUUAAAUUUGAUAUAAUAAAUUGACACUUAUAUUAUACCUGUUAUCAAGUUAUGGAACGCCCAAUUAUUACAAAUAUAUUGCAUUUACAACUGCGGGUUAUUAUACACUUCUAGCUGUCUUAAGAUGCGUACUUAUAUACACAUUUAUAUUUGUAUAUAUAUUUCAAGUACGGAACAGUUGUUAAAUUCACGAUUUUAUCUAUAUGCAGUCGAAGCAUCAAUGUAAUGUUUUAUAAAUUAGAACAUCUUUAUAUAUUUAUAAACAUUAUACUAAUAUUGAUUUCAUUUAUAAAAUGCCUAGGAGAAGGAAUGAAUAUCGUCGGAGAUUACGGCCCAGGGUAAACGACGUUAGGGUUCAACAACCUGCUCAUGAAGAACCUGCACCCGAAGAGGAACCCGUCCCUGAGGAAGUUGUCCAAGUGGUCAACAGAGGUAGACGUGGAAAUAGAAGGCGUGUUGCGCCAGAGCAUCAGCAAGCAGAUCAACCUGUGGAGCCCAAUAAUCAGCCUCCACCUCAGAAACAGCUGAAAACUACAGCAGUUCAGGCUGGACCGGGCAUUUUUGUGGUUUGGAUUAUUGGAUCUUCCUUGGUUGCCAAAGCCUCAUCACAUAGUCAAAUAAGACCUUUGGGAAAUGAUUUGGGGUUGCAUAAGUUAGGCUACAAGUUGAUGUGGGCAGGAAUGUCCGGUAUGUCAGUAUAUAACGUUGUACCAA